AACGAACGCUGGCGGCAGGCCUAACACAUGCAAGUCGAGCGAGGACUUCGGUCCUAGCGGCGGACGGGUGAGUAACGCGUGGGAACGUGCCCUCUUCUUCGGAAUAGCCUCGGGAGACUGGGAGUAAUACCGGAUACGCCCUUUGGGGGAAAGAUUUAUCGGAGGAGGAUCGGCCCGCGUUGGAUUAGGUAGUUGGUGGGGUAAUGGCCUACCAAGCCGACGAUCCAUAGCUGGUUUGAGAGGAUGAUCAGCCACACUGGGACUGAGACACGGCCCAGACUCCUACGGGAGGCAGCAGUGGGGAAUCUUAGACAAUGGGGGAAACCCUGAUCUAGCCAUGCCGCGUGAGCGAUGAAGGCCUUAGGGUUGUAAAGCUCUUUCAGUGGGGAAGAUAAUGACGGUAACCGGAGAAGAAGCCCCGGCUAACUACGUGCCAGCCGCCGCCGUAAGAC
rnacentral:rRNA from 1 species